ACUCCUACGGGAGGCAGCAGUGGGGAAUCUUGCGCAAUGGGCGAAAGCCUGACGCAGCGACGCCGCGUGCGGGAAGAAGGCCUUCGGGUUGUAAACCGCUUUCAGGAGGGACGAAGCCACUCGGGUUAAUAGCCCAGAGGGUGACGGUACCUCCAGAAGAAGCCCCGGCUAACUACGUGCCAGCAGCCGCGGUAAUACGUAGGGGGCAAGCGUUGUCCGGAUUUAUUGGGCGUAAAGAGCGUGUAGGCGGCCGUGUAGGUCUGACGUGAAAUCUGGAGGCUCAACCUCCAGCUGUCGUUGGAAACCGCCCGGCUAGAGUCCGGAAGAGGAGAGUGGAAUUCCUGGUGUAGCGGUGAAAUGCGCAGAUAUCAGGAAGAACACCUAUGGCGAAGGCAGCUCUCUGGGACGGUACUGACGCUGAGACGCGAAAGCGUGGGGAGCGAACAGGAUUAGAUACCCUGGUAG
rnacentral:rRNA from 1 species